AUGCUGCAGUCCCAGCUCAUGCACUGUAACCAUGGCAACUGGCAGGCCAGCAGGGAAGAAGCCCUUUUGGCAGGACUGGGAUUAAUGGAACAAGACAGGCUGUUGCUACAAGGCCAUGGCCACUUCACUGUUGGCCUGAAGUCCAGAGACCUGGAGGGUGAGAGUUCGAAUGUUCUGGGUUUGCAUCCAGACUCUUGGCCCUGUGCUUCCAGUGCAGCUCCACACAGUGGUACUAGAUGGGCACUGCUGCCUAGUAUUGGCAGCAUGGUGGGGGAGAUCUGA
rnacentral:lncRNA from 1 species